ACUUACCCAAUUCUGGCACGGAGAGGUAGUGACGAACAGUAACGGCCUUGUGACUCGGCUGAGGCCUCAGGGUUGGAAAAAGACUGUACUAAACCAUCUAUCGUGGAUUGGAGGGCAAGUCUGGUGCCAGCAGCCGCGGUAAUUCCAGCUCCAAUAGCAUAUAUUAAACUUGCUGCGGUUAAAAAGCUCGUAGUUGGAUUUUACAUCCGGGCCGGUAGCCCAUACGUGUCGCGUGUUUCGCGCUCGCUGCGUAAGAUGCGUCAACUGUACGUUCGCGCAUCAUACCCUCUUGACUACUGCCGUUACUUAGUGCCUGAACGCCCGUAUUGGCGUGGGCUCUUCGGAGUUUGCGUUCGAUCGGUGCUGCCGUUGCGUUACGUGCGAAGCCAGAAAUGUAUUUACGGGCGUCGUUGCGGGAGAGUAUGCGCUAAUUUGCGAAUCUAUCUCUUUGCGUACUGCGGUUUCGGCCGUUGGUCGUAUCGGGUAAUCGCUUAUUUCGGCGCUGCUGUCGUUAUCCGUCGGCGUUUUUGUGGUACUCUUCUGGUGCGNGCGCGACGGUACUGUCGUUCGUCGGUCUCGUAUCGGUACUGUGUGGUGAAUGGUAGUAUCGCGUGUGCAGAUGUUCGCUGAANAACUUUCCANCNAGUGAGCNCGCGGGCGGUGGCUUACUGUCGGNCUCCGGAGCGAUAAAGUCUGUCGGUUCACACAAGGGGCGUGCUCUUCAAUGAGUAUGNUUCCUGCCGUGGCCGAUACGUUCACUUUGAAAAAAUUAGAGUGCUCAAAGCGGGCGACGUAAAAACGCUCGAAUACCACUGCAUAGAAUGAUGGAACAGGACCUCGGNUCUGCUUUUCCGUCGGUUUAAUGUUCCUGANGUAAUGGUUAAAGGGGACAGACGGGGGCAUUAGUACUGCGGCGCGAGAGGUGAAAUUCUUUGACCGUCGCAAGACUACCUACUGCGAAAGCAUUUGCCAAGAAUGUUUUCAUUAAUCAAGAACGAAAGUUAGAUGAUCGAAGGCGAUUAGAUACCGCCCUAGUUCUAACCGUAAACGAUGCUGACCAGCUAUCCGCUCGCGUCAAACCCACGACCGAACGGGAUACUUCCGGGAAACCACUUAAGUUGGAGCUCCGGGGGGAGUAUGGUCGCAAGACUGAAACUUAAAGGAAUUGACGGAAGGGCACCACCAGGAGUGGAGCCUGCGGCUUAAUUUGACUCAACACGGGGAACCUCACCAGGUCAGGACAUUGUUAUGAUUGACAGAUUGAGAGCUCUUUCUCGAUUCGGNGAAUGGUGGUGCAUGGCCGUUCUUAGUUGGUGGAGCGAUUUGUCAGGUUAAUUCCGGUAACGAACAAGGCUCUAUCCUACUAACUAGUCGGCGUAUCGUUUACGUCCAGUCUCUCUUCUCCGAACAGGCUAUAUUUGCCCCGCCUUCGGCUGCAGUUUCGGCGAGGGCGUAGCGGGCGUCGGAGUUUUCCGCGAGUGAGUGGAUUGGAANCCGGCAGCGUAUUUGGUGUGACGGUGGGUGCGGAUGUAAGGCCAGCAAUGGUCGGUACGGCAGCUGCGGCUCGUCUGCAGUCNGUCCGUGUGUCCGUAUCUCGUUUCAUUACGUAACCGUCAACCGCGCUGUUCUUCCGUCUCUCCUUGCGGGCCGGCGUGCCGACGUUCUCGCUAUUGUAGUCGUUCCAGUGGGGUGAAGUCUGAAAGGGGUCUGAGCUGGGGUGCGUACGUUGAAUGUAAUCUUCUUAGAGGGAUCGGCGGCAGAAA
rnacentral:rRNA from 1 species